GGCGAGGUUGUAUCGCGGAAGGAGGUGGAAGAUGAACGGUUGACUUGAAGUGUUGGUUGUUGUUGUCGCGUGAAGGAGGUUGUUGAUUAGAGGUUAUUGUGGUAGGCGGUUACUGUUGUUGGACCGUCGAUGGUGAAGAUGUGGUCGGAAACGGAGAUCCGUCUGGCAGUAGGUGCGGCGUCAGAGAGCUUUUCAAAGGUUGAAGAUGAGCACGAAUGCGGCUGUUCGUGAUGGUUUCGCAGCGGUGGAGUUGUAAGUGAUGUAGGGUUGUCGGCAGAAGGAAAAACGGCGGUCGGAGUGUAUGUGUGGUUGAAGAGCGGCGUUGGGGUUGGAUGAAGGAGAUGCGGAUCGGGAUCAAAAGAGGGGUUUGAAUAUGAGGUUAUGAAUGGGUGAAGAGAAGGAGUGGUACGGCGGAGUGCGGUGGAUAAUGGAGGAUGCCGACGGUGGUAAUUGAUGGAGGGUUUUUCUUUGGUGGUGAAGGGUGGCGCCGAAGAUGGAUUUUUUUCGGAAAGGUGAAGGAUGGCGCCGGUCUUUUGUGAGUGAAGAAGAAGCGUUUUUAUUUUUUAUUUUUUUCGUUUUAUUUUUUCCUUGAAAGUUAGAGUCCCCGUGAGAAAGUGGAAAGAGGUGUCUUUAUGAGUGGAGUCUUG
rnacentral:lncRNA from 1 species